GGUGAGUUUAGAGGUUAAACACAUGGUGGAAUUAACUUUACAUGGAGAUGUUUGCUGCAAGGAGCUAAGGCUACAUUUAUAACUGGAACUAUAUAGGAACAUUGUCAAAUUAAAUUCAUCGACAAAAAAGCAUGGUUGCACCGAAUUGUGCUUUUGCACCAGAUAUCCUCCUAUAAUAAAUUGAAGCAAACUAUAAAGAAGUCACUUUAAUCAUUAGUGGUACAAAAAGUUCAGCAAGAGAUUCUUUAUUAGUGCUCCCAAACCCCUUGAAUAGCACAUCAUUUCUCUGAACACCUGCAAAGUCUGCACCAUCUACAAAAGGGUAUAAAAUAUCUUACUAUUAGUUUAAUUAGUAAUCAGAUGAUAAUAAUAUGACACAACAGCAGAUUUAGUUUACAAUCUUAUCUUAUGGAAGUAUUAGUAAGAGAACAACAGAGUUAACACUGGAGUUGGGACUGUGAACUAUCUGCCACUGCAAGCUGACCACAACACACACAUUACCAUCGUGCACUAAGGAGGAGGGCCUGGACUGGAUGAAUUCUUUUUUUGUCAUACUGACAACAGAAGAACAAUGACAACAAUAUCUGUAGGAUGGUACAUACUUGUCCAUUGGCACAUUUAACUGGAUCACGAAGAUGUGAUAACUUGUUACUUGGCCUAGGCGCUUACCUGGCCGUGGGAAGUGUAGCGACGUAGCCGGCGUCGAUCGGGCAGGGCAAGGCAGUGCAAUCCUGGUGGGGGCAGUGCAAGGCGUCCAUGCUAUGCAGAAAAGAUAACAUCAUAAUCAACUUGCUCUUGUCUAUCCAAAAACUCAGGUUUUGUGUAAUCUAUGUUUUCAGAUAACCUUAAUAAGUUGUUCUAAGUAACACGCUUCCUAAAAUAUCAAACUCAUAAUAUAAGGUGAUGGCAAAGCAUUAUAGUCAGGGUACAAAUCCUUGGAUGCCAUCAUAAUUUAUUGUCAGUUACCAUAAUAGACUGAUAGUUACAAAGGAUGCACACAUGCAGACUACAAUAAUCCUUUGGUUCUUGUACAAAUUGCGUGGGAUAUCAGACAUGCUAAACAAUAGGACUGUCAAAUUGAAAAUUAAGCCAGAGGUUGCCAAACACAACCGGGCUUGUCAAAUGAAUAUGUGAAAUCAACUCGUAAGCUCAUGAUAUUUUUCAAUCAAAUACAAAGAACAGAAUUAUUUUAGCUGGGCUAACAGAUGAACAAGAUAGAUAACAGAGAAUAAGCUGACAGGCCAUGCAUUACAAAUUUGAUCAAAAUUCCACAAAUUUCAUAGGCAGUAUAUACAGCCGGUGGGAAUAAAUACUAAUCGAAGUUGUACAUCGGAAUCACAACUGGAACCUACCUGUGUUUCAGUUCUAAAAAUUGUAGCCUAUGUAUUAUAAAACUAUUUUAUUCUGCACAGGGGACCAAACCGUGUACCCCCAUCCACCCCUUGCUCAAAGAUUUUCUGCUCUUUUAAGUCCUGG
rnacentral:lncRNA from 1 species